rnacentral:rRNA from 1 species
UACGGAGGGUGCGAGCGUUGUCCGGAAUCAUUGGGCGUAAAGGGCGCGUAGGUGGCCCGGUCAGUUCGUGGUGAAAGCGCGGGGCUCAACCCUGCGUCGGCCAUGAAUACUGCCGCGGCUGGAGCACUGUAGAGGCAGGCGGAAUUCCGGGUGUAGCGGUGGAAUGCGUAGAGAUCAGGAAGAACACCGGUGGCGAAAGCGCUCUGCUAGGCCGCAACUGACACUGAGGGACGAAAGCUAGGGGAGCGAAUGGG